GCUGGGUGUGGUGGCUCACACCUGUAAUCCCAGCACUUUGGGAGGCUGAGGCAGGUGGAUCACUUGAGGUCAGGAGUUCAAGACCAGCCUGGCCAACAUGGUGAAACCCCGUCUCUA
rnacentral:sRNA from 1 species